rnacentral:rRNA from 1 species
GUUUUGCAUGUACCUUGUGAAUAAGCAUCGGCUAACUCCGUGCCAGCAGCCGCGGUAAUACGGAGGAUGCGAGCGUUAUCCGGAUUCAUUGGGUUUAAAGGGUGCGUAGGUGGCCGAUUAAGUCAGCGGUGAAAGUCAGUGGCUCAACCAUUGAAUUGCCGUUGAAACUGGUUGGCUUGAGUACGUACGGGGCAGGCGGAAUGCGUGGUGUAGCGGUGAAAUGCAUAGAUAUCACGCAGAACCCCGAUCGCGAAGGCAGCCUGCCAGGCCGUGACUGACACUGAUGCACGAAAGCGUGGGUAUCGAACAGGAUUAGAUACCCUGGUAGUCCACGCAGUAAACGAUGAUCACUAGGGGUUUGCGAUAGACGGUAAGCCCCCGAGCGAAAGCGUUAAGUGAUCCACCUGGGGAGUACGCCGGCAACGGUGAAACUCAAAGGAAUUGACGGGGGCCCGCACAAGCGGAGGAACAUGUGGUUUAAUUCGAUGAUACGCGAGGAACCUUACCCGGGCUUGAAUUGCAGAGGAAGGAUUUGGAGACAAUGACGCCCUUCGGGGUCUCUGUGAAGGUGCUGCAUGGUUGUCGUCAGCUCGUGCCGUGAGGUGUCGGCUUAAGUGCCAUAACGAGCGCAACCCCUCUCCUUAGUUGCCAUCAGGUCAUGCUGGGCACUCUGGGGACACUGCCACCGUAAGGUGUGAGGAAGGUGGGGAUGACGUCAAAUCAGCACGGCCCUUACGUCCGGGGCUACACA